UACGUAGGGUGCGAGCGUUAAUCGGAAUUACUGGGCGUAAAGCGUGCGCAGGCGGUUUGGUAAGACAGAUGUGAAAUCCCCGGGCUUAACCUGGGAAUUGCAUUUGUGACUGCUCGGCUAGAGUGUGUCAGAGGGGGGUAGAAUUCCACGUGUAGCAGUGAAAUGCGUAGAUAUGUGGAGGAAUACCGAUGGCGAAGGCAGCCCCCUGGGAUAACACUGACGACUGAGGCACGGAAAGCGUGGGGAGCCAACAG
rnacentral:rRNA from 1 species